rnacentral:rRNA from 1 species
GAUCCUGGCUCAGGACGAACGCUGGCGGCGUGCCUAACACAUGCAAGUCGAACGGAACUUCUUUAAAGGAUUUCUUCGGAAUGAAUUUGAUUAAGUUUAGUGGCGGACGGGUGAGUAACGCGUGAGUAACCUGCCUCUAAGAGGGGAAUAACAUUCUGAAAAGAAUGCUAAUACCGCAUAAUAUAUAUUUAUCGCAUGGUAGAUAUAUCAAAGAUUUAUCGCUUAGAGAUGGACUCGCGUCCGA